UAGCAUAUGCUUGUCUCAAAGAUUAAGCCAUGCAUGUCUAAGUACAAGCCUAACUAAGGUGAAACCGCGAAUGGCUCAUUAAAUCACACCUAAUCUACUGGAAUGUUAGCAGUUACUUGGAUAACUGAGGUAAUUCUUGAGCUAAUACAUGCGAAAAAUCUCGACUCACGGAGAGAUGCUUUUAUUAGAUCAAAACCAAACAGACUCGUCUGUAUAUUUGGUGACUCGGAAUAACUUUGGGCUGAUCGCAUUGCCUUGUGCAGGCGACAUUUCCUUCGAAGGUGUGCCCUAUCAACUGUCGACUGUGGUAUAGACGACCACAGUGGUUUUGACGGGUAACGGGGAAUCAGGGUUCGAUUCCGGAGAGGGAGCCUUAAAAACGGCUACCACAUCCAAGGAAGGCAGCAGGCACGCAAAUUACCCAAUGAACGAAGUUCGAGGUAGUGACGAAAAAUAACAAUACAAGACUCUUCCGAGGCCUUGUAAUUGGAAUGAGUACACUUUAAAACCGUUCCCGAGGAUCUAUUGGAA
rnacentral:rRNA from 1 species